rnacentral:rRNA from 1 species
GAAAAGAAACUAACAAGGAUUUCCCCAGUAGUGGCGAACGACCGGGAAUUAGCCCAGCACUGAAUCCUGUACUGUAACGGUAUUAGGAGUUGUAGUGUAAAGGUUGURUCUUUAAAUGUGGAACGCAUUCCAAAUUCACUUGAUUGUGAUGUAGUCCAGAGAGGGUGUUAGACCCGUUGGGAUGUGUGAAACGAUUAUUGAUACUUCCUAUGAGUCGGAUUGUUUGAGAAUGCAGUCCAAAUUGGGUGGUAAACUUCAUCUAAGGCUAAAUACUUGUGCUAGUCCGAUAGAAAACAAGUACCGUGAGGGAAAGUUGAAAAGAACUUUGAAGAGAGAGUUAAAUAGUACGUGAAAUCGCUUAGAGGUAAACGAGUGGAGCCGAAAAUGUUGUAUGGGAUUCAGUUGGCUUGUGUUUUGUAAUGUUAUCGGUGAUAUCUUUUAUAUGGGAAUAGCUGGUUUCAUGUUAAUCAAAAUACAAACGAUGCAUUUUCUAUACGGCAAUACUGCGAUCGAUAGCGUUGUUUUUCUGUCGUAAAAAUGAAGGUGAUCAGUUUUUCGGAAUUGGUUUUAAAGCUUCUUACACGGUCAAUCAAUUUAUCGGUGAAAACGAUUAGUUAAUGUGUUAAUAUGAUGUUAAUGUGAUGUGUUUGAUUGUAAACUUUAUAUGGAUUACUUUUAAAGCCGUCAUGUUUCAUUUUGUUAAUCGAUUAAUCCAAAUCUGCAGUUGUUUAUGUAGGUUACCUACUCGUCCCGUCUUGAAACACGGACCAAGGAGUUUUAUAUGAUCGCGAGUCAAAGGGCUUUACGAAACCCCACGGCGUAAUUAAUGUGAAGGCUUGCUUUAGUGCUUGCUAAGAUGUGACCUCUAUUCACUUUAYUGUGAACAGUGAGCAACAUUGACCUGUCCAAUGAAUUUCGAUUCAGGGCGGAGUUUGAGCGAUCAUGUAGAGACCCGAAAGAUGGUGAACUAUGCUUGUGCAGGUUGAAGUCAGAGGAAACUCUGAUGGAGGACCGAAGCGGUUCUGACGUGCAAAUCGAUCGUCGGACAUGAGUAUAGGGGCGAAAGACUAAUCGAACCAUCUAGUAGCUGGUUCCCUCCGAAGUUUCCCUCAGGAUAGCUGGCAUUUAUUGUUGUAGUUUUACCUGGUAAAGCGAAUGAUUAGAAGUAUUGGGGACGAAAUGUUUUCAACUUAUUCUCAAACUUUAAAUAGGUUCGAAGUAUUACUCGCUUCAUUGGAGUAAUACAUUGAAUACAAAUGCCUAGUGGGCCAUUUUUGGUAAGCAGAACUGGCGAUGUGGGAUGAACCAAACAUCUGGUUAAGGUGCCUAACACCACGCUCAUGAGAUACCACAAAAGGUGUUGGUUGAUAAAGACAGCAGGACGGUGGACAUGGAAGUCGUCAUCCGCUAAGGAAUGUGUAACAACUCACCUGCCGAAUCAACCAGCCCUGAAAAUGGAUGGCGCUGUAGCGUGGGACCUAUACCGGAUCAGUAUCGUAAGUUUAUAUGCGAGUAAACGGUACUGUGUAGGAGGGUGCCGUGGUUGCUGAGAAGCUACUGGCGUAAGGCAGAGUGGAGCGGCCACGGGUACAGAUCUUGGUAGUAGUAGCAAUUAUUCAAGUGAGAUCCUUGAAG